GGUUAGCUCAAUGGGUAGAGCACUGUGCUAAGAACACAGGAGUUGCAGGUUCGAGUCCUGCACCAA
rnacentral:tRNA from 1 species